rnacentral:piRNA from 1 species
UGCAUCGUGGAAUCGAUUCAA